rnacentral:rRNA from 1 species
UACGUAGGGCUCGAGCGUUAAUCGGAAUUACUGGGCGUAAAGCGUGCGCAGGCGGUUUGCUAAGUCCGUUGUGAAAUCCCCGGGCUUAACCUGGGAACUGCAUUGGUGACUGGCAGGCUUUGAGUGUGGCAGAGGGAGGUAGAAUUCCACGUGUAGCAGUGAAAUGCGUAGAGAUGUGGAGGAAUACCGAUGGCGAAGACAGCCUCCUGGGACAACACUGACGCUCAUGCACGAAAGCGUGGGGAGCAAACAGG